AAAAGGGGGAGGAGGAGGAGGAGGAGAGGAGAAAGGUGAAGUGGGUAGAGAAACCCGCGUCAGUUGUUUCUGGGACGUGGACAGGAAAGGGCACAUUUGUGUGAGCGGCUCGCGUGCACUCUCCAGGUAUGCAGGUGGAGGGGUGAGCAGGUGAGCCGCACACCUGCUCCACUAUUUAGCCAUUACUACUGCUAUUGCUGCUGCUGCUGCUGCUGCUGGGGAUGGUGAUGCUGCUGCUGCUGCUGCUACUACUACUACUACUACUACUACUACUACUACUACUACUACUAUUUAACUGACAAGCUUCCUUCAUAACAGUGCAGGAUUCUCAGGUCCUGCGACUCCUGGGGAAGUCCUGCCAGCCUUGCAUGUAUCCCCACAUCAAUCAAAGGAGGGAAAAAAUUUGUCAGUGCUGAGGAGGAAGGAAGAAGCUGAGGAGGAAGGAAGAAAAGACCGCAUUCUCAUGUCAUCCCAUUGACUUUGUAUUCAGGUUUAUUCUAAGCAACAAGUGUGUAAGACUCGGUGUUGGCUGGCUGGUGCUGGUACAUGAGCUGCUGUGUGUUCCAAGUCCUCCGGACUCCUCAACUAUGAUCAUUAUUUUUUAUUUAUUUAUU